GAGAUGACAGGGCACACAUGACCUCGGAACCCUGGUCCCCAGGCAGUUGGUUCUGAACCAAACCUGACCCAGCUCACUUGCCUGGUGGGCCUGGACCCGGCCCCACGUUUUCUUGCUGUUUGCCCAGGUCUCCCCGCAGUGGACCCAAAAAAGGUCCACGAAACUCGUGUCACACUCUGCCGAAAGGCAUGAGGAGCCUGUGCGUACGCCUCGGGCCAGCACCAGCACUGCCCCUGAGGUAACUAGGGGGGCCCUGGGGACAGGUCAGACCACGCCAGGGCUCUGAUGCCCCCACCCCUCCCUUCCCCCUGUGAGUGCGGGUGUGCGUGCGGUGAGAGUGAGUGUGUGCGUGCUCCAGGAAGGAGGGUCUGGCCCACCCAGGAGUCUGCUCAUGUCUACACCAGAACCAGCCUGGCUGGUGGUGGGACCCAAACCGUCAUGGCUGCUCCCUCUUGCCCCAGCUGGUUGCUACCCAGCAGGUGUGUCUGUUUACUCCCAGGAGGUCUUUUGUGUCCAGGAAGGUGAAGAGAUCCAGAGAGUGCAAUUCCCCGACUGUCCUCCCACAGCCCAGUGUGGGAUCUGUCCCAGCACAGAGCCCAGGUUGAAGUGCACCUGCAACUUUGAGAUUGGGGCACAUGUCCAAAGGAACUGGCUGCAGUACCCGAAAUCCCUGGAGGAGCCAUCCGAGGGACGUGACUUCCAUGACCGUCCUUGGACAACCUGCUGACCAUGCUGCAGGCCACUCUUGGCUGGAGCCUGCAGCCUGCAUGGGGCAGUCCCGAUGCCAGUGCACAUGGCGGGGAGCCUAGCGGCAGCUGGCUUUUGCUCUCCUCCCCACCCAUGCACCCUGGGCUCUUGAAACAGAAGAGGGUGCUCUCCAGACCACGGACCAGUUGAGCGCUAGGCUGCGAAGCUGCCUGAAGGCUCUGGAGCACCAGUUUGAUCCCAGCCACCGGUGAAGGUCCCACAUGGCGCACAGACCUCUCCUGCCGCCCGCUGCUCCCCUCAGCCGUGUAUUUCGUCAGUCUGCCUGUUCUGUUCUCCACUCUGGCUGUGGUGAAUUCUCUCACCCUCCUGCACUUCUGAUUGUACCUAGUGCUUGCAUAAAUAAAUAAAUAAAUAAAUCUUUUUUAAAAAAUACCUUUCUCUUUAGUGGAGAAAAAAAAAAAAAUAAAGGUAAACCCACGAUGAGGCACCACUUCAUGCCCAAGAGAAAAGCCCAUCUUGAAAUAAAAAAAGACAUCCCCUGCUCAUGGAUUGGAAGAAUAAACAUUAUUAAAAUGGCCAUCCUACCAAAAGCAAUUUACAGAUUCAAUGCAAUUCCAAUCAAAAUUUCAAUGACAUUCUUCAAAGAAAUAGAACAAUUAUUGAUGAAAUUCAUAUGGAAUCACCAAAAACCCCAAAUAGCCAAAGCUCUCCUGAAAUAAAAAAGAAGGGAAUGGAGGCAUCUCACUCCCAGACUUCAAACUAUACUACAAAGCCAUAAUCAUCAGAACUGCAUAGUAUUGGACCAAGAACAGACACACGGACCAAUGGAACCAAAUAGAAAAUCCAGAAAUAAACCCACAGAUUUAUGGUCAGCUAAUCUUUGACAAAGGAGCAAAGAAUAUGCACUGGAGCAAAGAAAGUUUGUUCAAUAAAUGGUGCUGGGAAAACUGGGUCACUACAUGCAAAAGAAUGAAGCUUGACUACUACCUCACACCAUGCACAAAAACCAACUCAAAAUGGAUUAAAGAACUAGACAUAAGACCUGAAAAUACAUAGAAGGAAAUACAGGUGAAACACUACAUGACAUGUAUCUCAAAGACAUCUUUACAGACACAUCACCCAAAGCAGUGAGAGUGAAAGCAAAGAUUAACAGCUGGGACGACAUCAAAUUAAAGAGUUUCUGCACAGCAAAAGAGACAAUAACCAAAACAAAGAGAAAUCCCACCAACUGGGAGAAAAUUUUUGCACACAACACUAAUGAUAAAGGACUGAUCACAAAAAUCUACAAAGAGCUGAUGAGACUCAACAAAGCAAAGAAAAUAAUCCAGUGAAAAAAUGUGCAGAAGAGCUAAAAAGAAACUUCUUCAAAGAGGAAAUGCAAAUGGCCAACAGGCAUAUGAAAAAAUGUUCAACAUCACUUGUAAUCAGGGAAAUGCAAGCCAAAACUACAAUGAGAUACCAUCUUACACCAGUGAGAAUGGCAUAUAUUAAAAAACUAGCAACAACAAAUGUUGGUGAGGUUGUGGAGAAAAAGGAACUCUCCUGCAUUGCUGGUGGGAGUGCAAACUGGUCCAACCACUAUGGAGAGCUGUGUGGAGAUUACUUGACCUACUAAAGAUAGAGCUUCCAUAGGAUCCAGCAAUUCCACUCCUAGGUAUUUACCCAAAUGACACAGAAACAGUAAUUCCAAAGGUCACCUGCACACCUUUGUUUAUAGCAGUACUAUUUACAAUAGCUAAGCUAUGGAAACAACCCAAAUACCCAAAAAUAGA